GAAGAAGAAAACGCCACACCCUCUUAUGUAUGAUAAAUGUCCGCGAAUGGACUGCAACAUUGCUUAUAAAAUCUUUAUGUCCGGAUAAGUUUGUCUCGGGGCUCUUUAAUGCUUCUCGGCCUAGUUAGCUUAUUUAGGUCGCUAACAGAGAGAAGCACACAACACGUCGUCAAACAGAGAACAAGUGCGAAAUUGUGUGAUUGUCGUGUGAAAAUGUGUGCCAGCCCGACAGCAAAGUAUGAGGAAGAACUUUUGGGAAUAAAAGAGAACAAGUUACUACUGGAUGCUGUUUGCAAACAACCAAGACUUGUGCAACACAAACCAGGGUGCGGCCAUUUUGGCCACUUGACGGAAAAUGACAUCACAGUUGCUCAGGUAAUUCAGGAUUCACCUGCUUUAGGGGUUUGGUGAUGUUCUUAAAAUGAGCUGUAAUUUUGCCAAAACAUGAAGGAAUAAUGUUAACGUUAAAGUUUUAUUACAAACUAAAUCUGCAUUUACUGUGUAUGAGGUAAUAUACAAAAAUGUAAUUGUCAGAAUUUAAGCAACCCUCCUUCCCGACCUAAUUUACAAUUCAAUAAAUACUAUGCAGGAAAUGACGUAUCUGAUUCAACAAUCCUAAAACAAGACACUCAUAUCACUACACAAUCAAGGCAUGUUAGGUUUUCUCAUUUUAUUUGGUUAAGGCAAGGAGUUAAUGCAGACAAAAGGAUUUACAGCUUUAUUUUCAUUCUUGAAAUAAACUCAAAUCAACAUUUUGUAGCAUCUAAAAAUUCUAAAAAAAAUAUACGAUUUUAUUUAAAGAACUAACAAAUUUUACAGAUGACCACAAGGUGUCAGUCCCCCCCGUUUUUUUUUUUUAUGAAAGCUUCAACUCACUUUUCUUACCAGAACACUUGUGCAACUGAACCUGCUGUUUACUAGAGAAUCGUUUGGCACAAAAGGUGCAAGGAAAAGCUUUCUCUCCAGUGUGCGUUCUUCUGUGUCUUUUCAAAUUACAUCUUUGAGAGAAUCCUUGGCCACAAACAGAGCAGGCAAAAGGUUUUUCUCCACUAUGCGUCAGUGAGUGCUCCGCUAAACCAGUCUUCCAACGGAAUUUUUUAUUACAAAUUAAGCAGGCAAAAGGUUUUUCUCCACUGUGUGUUUUUUUGUGUUUACUUAAACUUGAAGUGGAAAAAAAGCCUUUCCCGCAAUCUGAGCACGAGUAGGGUUUCUCUCCAGUGUGUGUUCUUGUGUGACACGUUAAGAUUGACUUUACGGAGAAUCUUUUACCGCAAAAUGAGCAGACGAAAGGCUUUUCUCCCUUGUGCGUUUGGCUGUGAUGUAAUAAAAGUGAGGAUGAAGUGAAUCCUUUACCACAAACUGAGCAAAUGUAAGGUUUUUCUCCAGUGUGUGUUCUCAUGUGACAUUUCAAAUAAGACUUUGAGUGAAAAUUUUUUCCACACUGAGAACAUUCAACUUCAUCACGAUCAUCAUCAAUGUCGUCGUCCUCAUCGUAACAAUAAUCUUCAUCUUUGUCAUCAUCACCACCACCAACAUCGUCGUCAUAAUAAUCAGUGUCAGAAUCGUGUGACGUGUUAUCACUUAUCUCUAUCACUUCUCGUGAUGUUCCCCGGUGGUCUGAUUCAUCUUCUAAUAUGUCUUGAGUUGAGCUUCUGGUUGGAGACUCCGCCCUCCUGUUCUCCUCUCGUUCACCAUUGUCUCCAA